rnacentral:rRNA from 1 species
UACGGAAGGAGCUAGCGUUGUUCGGAAUUACUGGGCGUAAAGCGCACGUAGGCGGCUUUGUAAGUUAGAGGUGAAAGCCCGGAGCUCAACUCCGGAACUGCCUUUAAGACUGCAUCGCUUGAAUCCAGGAGAGGUGAGUGGAAUUCCGAGUGUAGAGGUGAAAUUCGUAGAUAUUCGGAAGAACACCAGUGGCGAAGGCGGCUCACUGGACUGGUAUUGACGCUGAGGUGCGAAAGCGUGGGGAGCAAACAGG